GUUUCGAAUCAUUCACAAUGGGCGAAAGCCUGAUGGUGCGACGCCGCGUGAGGGAUGAAGGCCUUCGGGUUGUAAACCUCUGUCACCGGGGAAGAAACGCUUCAAGUUAAUAGCUUGAAGCCUGACUUAACCCGGAGAGGAAGCAGUGGCUAACUCUGUGCCAGCAGCCGCGGUAAUACAGAGACUGCAAGCGUUAUUCGGAUUCACUGGGCGUAAAGGGUGCGCAGGCGGCCAAGUGUGUGAGGUGUGAAAGCCCGGGGCUUAACCCCGGAAUUGCACCUCAAACUACAUGGCUAGAGCAUUGGAGAGGGUAGCAGAAUUCACGGUGUAGCAGUGAAAUGCGUAGAUAUCGUGAGGAAUACCAGAGGCGAAGGCGGCUACCUGGACAAUUGCUGACGCUCAGGCACGAAAGCGUGGGGAGCAAAAGGGAUUAGAAACCCCUGUAGUCC
rnacentral:rRNA from 1 species